AUGGACUUUGUCCAGAUGGUUACCACUGCCAUGUCUCCCUACUGGGCAGAGGCUUUAGAGAAUGUCUCAGAAGAUCUGGGCCGCGGGCCUGGGGCUCUCAGCCGGCCCGUCUGGCCAGAGGGAACCACACGAAUCGGAAAAGCAGUACCCUUAAGCAGCCUCUCAAGCGUCCGGUACAGCCCGGGCACCGGCGGUGUGCGCGGGCUGGAGUCCGGGAGCGGAUUUAAAAAGAGGCCCGGGCGGGAGGAGGGAGGCUGCGGAGAGAGCGCGGAGCCGAGCGCAGAAGCGCAGCGCGGCAGCCGAGGCACCCACCGACGGGCGCAGCGGGAGCGAGCGGAGCCGGGAGGCGCGCUCCGGGCAGAGAGAGCCGAGCCGGCCGGGCGCCCUCCCCAGUCCCUGCUCCCGCGCCCCGCGCCCCUCCGGCCAGCAUGAGGCUCCUGUCGGCCGCGCUGCUCCUGCUGCUCCUGGCGCUGUGCGCCGCACGCGUGGACGGGUCCAAAUGCAAGUGCUCGCGAAAGGGGCCCAAGAUUCGCUACAGCGACGUGAAGAAGCUGGAAAUGAAGCCAAAGUACCCGCACUGCGAGGAGAAGAUGGUUAUCAUCACCACUAAGAGCGUGUCCAGGUACCGGGGUCAGGAGCACUGCCUGCACCCCAAGCUGCAGAGCACCAAGCGGUUCAUCAAGUGGUACAACGCCUGGAACGAGAAGCGCAGGGUCUACGAAGAGUAGGGUGAAAAAUCCCACAUGGAAAAACUUCAUACCAGCUGGGAGAGGAGCAAAGGACUCUGCAGAUAAAAAACAAAAAAACAAACCUUUUCUUUCUCACAGGCAUAAGACACAAAUUAUAUAUUGUUACAAAGCACUUUUUACCAAGGGUCAGUUUUUACAUUUUAUAGCUGUGUGCGGAAGGCUUCCAGAUGUGAGACCCUUCUCUCGUGCUCGACUUUAUCACACACUGCUUUUUACCGAAAAGGGGGAAACUUAUGCCUUUCCUUUGUAAAAAAAAAAAAAAAAAAAAAAAAUGCUUUUUUGUAUUUGUCCAGACAUCACUACAUCUGAGCUUUAUAAGCGCCUGGGAGGAACCCAGAGCUUGGUUUAAACAUUUCAUAGCAGCAUUGCUCCGUUGCUAAUGCAGGAAGCUUCCGCUCAGAGGUCCUGGUGCCUCCACACAGCUGCCAUGGGCUCUCCUGGGCUCAUGGUUGGUCACAGCCUCAGGGGGACUCCACGGUGGCCCCUGUCACCAGGCAAGAAGAAGCCGAUCUCUCUGCAUCUGUUCUUUAAGGAACUUAAGUUUGGCUGCCAGAGAAAUGUGCUUCAUCCCCCACCCCACCCCACCCCCACUUUAUUUUUACAUACUCUAGGAAACAUUUCCAAGAUUCUGGGAUGGCAAAGCAUAGGGUCCUUAAGGAAGGGGUUGGGUCUUCUCUCCUUCUUGUGAAAGGUUCACUGCUUCAGUACUGAAUACUCUGGAAGCACGUGAAGUUCCCAACACUGUUAGCAAAACCUGACAAGAAAACUUAAAAAUCUACCCGGACACGCACAAUGCCCAGCUACAGACACACGUUCUAGCAAUGAUGGAAAACCUUCAGAGCAUGUUUCUUUCCCUCGUUGCAACUGAACAGGCAGGACAGAAGCAUUCUAUCUGUGAUUCCCCGUGUAAUUCUUCAAUGUUAAACAGUGCAGUCCUCUUUUGAAAGCCGAAACAACCACAUGCCCUUUUCUUUGUAAAUAUACUCUUAAGAACGCCCCCUCCACACACUGCCCCUUCAGUAUAUGCCUCAUUGUACUGCUGUGUCAUAUGCUAUGCACGUGUCAGAAACCAUUAGCGUUGCAUGCAGGUUUCAUAUUCUAAGACAAAAAGAAAA